UCUGUGCCCAUUCCCACAGAGACAUACACAACAUGAAUAAUGGCAGCACAGUAGUAUGUACCUGGGUCACUUGAAAUUCUAAAAACUCUUUUGCUAUAUGCCUACGCUGCAGUUCUUACGUGUGAUUAUUGUCACAAGUCAUGUUGUAUAUGCUAUUAGUUGUCAGUAUAUAAAUAGGUGAUAUUUAUUAAACUUAUUGUUAGUGUUUCUAAAAACUUAUAGAACUGACCUUGAAUAAAUACUUUUGAGCUGGGUGCAGUGAUACACACCUGUAAUCUCCAUGACUAGGAACAUCAUUGGCAGGAGGAUCAUCAAGCCAGCCCCAGACAUGGCCAGGUGUAGUGGUGCAGGCCUCUAAAUCCCAGGGGUUCCAGUCGCUUGAGGUAGGAGGAACAUGAAUUCAAAGCCAGCCUCAACACCAGUAAGGCAUAAAUUACAAAAUAGGGCUGGUGAUGCGCCUCAAUGGACAUGUUCCCCUGAGUUCAAUCCCCAGUUCCCACAAAUAAAUAAAUUAAUAUAAUGUACAAAGGCCCUGGGAUGUGGCUCAGAGGUUAAGCUCCUUGAGUUUAAUUCCUUUACCAAAAUAACUAAAGAAACGUUUACGGGUUUGCAUUUUAUAUUUCAUUGAAUAUUUUUGCUGGGAGGUGGGAGUGCAUGGUUUGUUGAGUCUUUAAUGCAACAAUUCAGUGUUAUUCAAACUACUAUGCAUAAAGUUAAGCAAGGCAAUUUCUCUUUUUGUCUGGCAUCCCUCAGGCUUUUUUUUUUUUUAAUGUUGAUACAGGGUCUCACUUUGUUGCUUAGUACUUCACUAAGUAGCUGAGGCUGUCUUUGAACUUGUGAUCUCCUGCCUUAGCCUCCUGAGUAUCUGGGAUUACAGGCAUGUGUCACUGUGAUAGGUCAAUUGAACACAAUUCAAUAACCAUUUCUCAAUGUAAGUAAUGAAAUGAGAUUGAAUUCAACAAGAAAGUUGAAUAGGAAGAAUAUCAAAUAUAUAAUUAUUUUUGCAAUAUAAUAAUUUACUUAUAGAAUUCAAUUCGAUUAUACCUGGACAGCUUACAGACAACUGAUUAAUUGGUAGAAUUAAACCAAGUUGAUUGUCUUGAUAGAAAAUAUCAAAAUUAAUAUGCCAGCAACAGCUAAUUGAAAGUAAAAAGGGUACUGCAGAUUUCUUUCAUAUUUGCCUCAAAAAGAAGGUAAUAAUAGGGGCUGGGGUUGUGGCUCAGCGGUAUGGCACUCGCCUACCAUGUAGGAGGCCCUGGGUUCCUCGGCACCAUUUAAAAAUACAAAAUAAAAAUAACUACAACUGAAAAAUAAACUUAAAAAAAAAAAGAAGGUAAUAAUAUGUAAGAUGAAGAUGUACAGCUUGUAUUUCCCACUUAUUUUACUCCUAACAGGUAUGUACUUUAACCCGAGAAGAUAACCGCACCCUGGGUGUUAUUCCUGAGGAUGAGCAGCUCCAUGUCCUGCCUUUGUAUAAACUUGCCGACACUGAUGAGUUUGGGUCCAGAGAAGGGAUGGAAGCCAAGGUCAAAUCUGGAGCCAUUCAGUUCCUUCAACCAACUUGCAAAAAAAGAACACGUUUUACUCAGCCUGUUCCUCGAUCUGGGAAGAAGAGGGCAGCAAUGAUGACCGAAGUUCUUGAGCGCAAGAUUAGGGUAGUGGAGAAGAAACAAAUGCCUCGAGUCAAGCAGAAGAAUAACUCUGCCCUGGCAAAGAACAGUAAAACUUCAUUGGUGCCGCUCCCAGGUGAGCUCUGUGGGACCAAAUUUUCUUAUGUGUACAAACUUCUUUGACACAGGGUUGGCAAUUUCUCUUUCACCAUAUUUUUCCUGUCCUUUAUCUUACUUCCUUCUUAGGUCAAAGGCAUUCUGAGAAGACAGACUUAAAAGGAUAAUUUACUAGAUUUUACUGAGUCUCAUCUUCAUUAUUAUACUUUGUUUAGAGUUAAGUCUUAGAUUCCGAAUAUAUUUCUACAUGGGUAUUCAAACUGAAAAUUAACAAAAACGUGGCCUAUCUCUGCUUUGGGGGGUCGUUUUUGUUUGUUUAUUUUUUAAUACUGGGGAUUAAAUCCAGGCACACUUAACCACUGAUCCCCAUACCCAGCCCUAUUUUGUAUUUUGUUUAGAGGACAGGGUCUCACUGAGUUGCUUAGUGCCUGCUGUUGCUGAGGCUAGCUUUGAACUCAAGGUCCUCCUGUCUCAGCCUCACUUGCCAUUCACAUUAUAUGUGUGGGCCACUGUGCCCAGCUAUUUUACAUCUUGAGAAAGUGUCUAAGUUGCUUAGGGUCUUGUCAAGUUGCUGAAGUCUUCAAACUUGUGAUCUUCCUACUUCAGCCUUCCACGUUACUGGGAUUAGAGGCCUGCACCAGUGCACGAGGCUCCUAGAUUGUUUUGAGCAUACUGAAGAAAUCACACAUUAUCCAUUUUCAUCAGUAUGUAUCACUAAAUGUUAGAAUCUUGCUUCAGCCUCUUAGUAUUUGUAGUCAGUUAUUCAUCAUCAUUCCCAUUAAGGAUUUUUGUUACUACCAUACAAUAACAACAAACAAGAAAGAAAACAAAUGUGAAAAAAGCCAGUGAUACCAUAAUUCUAUUAUUCAGAUUAUUGAAUCAGUAUGAACUCAGUGGUAGAAUCCUUUCCUAACAUUUUGAGGCCCUGCAUUAGAUCCUCAGUACCACACAAAAAGUCACACAUUUUAUUUAAUUAAUAAUAUGUCAGGCCUCUCAUUUUAAGCUUGCUGUCCCUCUCGGUUUUUCCGCUUUCUUCCUUUCUUUAUGGAGCAGAAGAAACUAUUGUUUAGAGUUAAGUCUAAUUGAUUGUUUGUGGUAUUGGGAUUGAAUCCAGGUCAGGGCUUCACUCAUGAUAGGCAAUUAAUUGCUAUUCUACACUAUAGACUGCACUAUGUCCCCAGUCAUUCUUCUCUGAAAAGUGUGCCUAAUAAGUGUCUUCCAUUGUGGUCAGUUUUUUAAAAUUUAAUCUCACAAAUUUUUUGACCAUUUAUUUUCGAUGCACAUUAGGUCAACUCACACACAAAUUGUGUGUGUGUGUGUGUGUUUGUGUUACCAGGUAUCAAACACAUUUUUUUUUUUUUUUUGGUGUAGAUGGA
rnacentral:lncRNA from 1 species